rnacentral:rRNA from 1 species
GACUAAGCGUACACGGUGGAUGCCCUGGCAGUCAGAGGCGAUGAAGGGCGUACUAAUCUGCGAUAAGCGCCGGUAAGGUGAUAUGAACCGUUAUAACCGGCGAUACCCGAAUGGGGAAACCCAGUGUGAUUCGUCACACUAUCAUUAACUGAAUCCAUAGGUUAAUGAGGCGAACCGGGGGAACUGAAACAUCUAAGUACCCCGAGGAAAAGAAAUCAACCGAGAUUCCCCCAGUAGCGGCGAGCGAACGGGGAGGAGCCCAGAGCCUGAAUCAGCAUGUGUGUUAGUGGAAGCGUCUGGAAAGGCGCGCGAUACAGGGUGACAGCCCCGUACACAAAAGCGCAUGUGCUGUGAGCUCGAUGAGUAGGGCGGGACACGUGGUAUCCUGUCUGAAUAUGGGGGGACCAUCCUCCAAGGCUAAAUACUCCUGACUGACCGAUAGUGAACCAGUACCGUGAGGGAAAGGCGAAAAGAACCCCGGCGAGGGGAGUGAAAAAGAACCUGAAACCGUGUACGUACAAGCAGUGGGAGCACAGGUUUACCUGUGUGACUGCGUACCUUUUGUAUAAUGGGUCAGCGACUUAUAUUCUGUAGCAAGGUUAACCGAAUAGGGGAGC